ensembl:lncRNA
UGAGGCGCUAGCACCAAUAUAGAAGGAUGUUAAAAUAGAACAACCAGCAGGAAUCAGUAUGAGUAAGCAACGUGUUGACCACUGUUUAUUAGAUAUUUAGUUAGCCAUAAAACGCUUUGUACUGACGAUUCCAAUGACAGUACUAUAGCCAGCAUCUCGGCUGGUUUUCUAUCACUAUAUCCUUAACUAUCUGUACUUUAAGUAAGCCAGUUCCCAGACUCCAGUAGACACUAGCACCAGACCGUUGCCCUCUAAUCCUCCCUCACAGUUCUCAGGUAGGACCUAAAGACAAACGGCUCAUACCGUUUUUAUGAAAGUUUUGCUUGCAGGUCCAAUGCGGCCAUUAAUCACCAACCAAUCCCGAAUCGGUGUGCUCUUAUCUCCCGCCCUAUUGCCGACACCUUAUUGGUGUAGGACGCCGGGCGGUGCUGCCAUUCAUGACCUACAUAAAUAAUUAGAAGGAGACAAUGAGAGACAGCAGAGUGAGGUUAGGGUUAGGGUUAGGGUGAAGAGAAUAGGUUGGGGUUAGGGUGAAGAGAAUAGGUUGGGGUUAGGGUGAAGAGAAUAGGUUAGGGUUAGGGU